CAUUGGGCGUAAAGGGUGCGUAGGUGGCGAAAUAAGUUAGUGGUGGGAAAUCGGGGCUCAACCCCGCGGAAGCCAUUAAUACUGUUUUGCUAGAGGACAGGAGGGGUUAACGGAACUCCCGGUGGAGCGGUGAAAUGCGUAGAUAUCGGGAAGAACACCAAAGAGGCGAAGGCAGUUAACUAUUCUGCUCCUGACAUUGAGGCACGAAAGCGUGGGUAGCAAAGCGGAUUAGAUACCCGUGUAGUCCACGCCGUAAACGAUGAGUGCUAGACAUUGGACAUUAGUUCAGUGCCGCUAGGUAACCCGGUAAGCACUCCGCCUGGGUAGUACGCUCGCAAGAGUGAAACUCAAAGGAAUUGACGGGGACUCGCACAAGCAGUGGAGCAUGUGGUUUAAUCCGAUACAACGCGUAGAACCUUACCAAGGUUUGACAUGUUCGGCAAAACUUAGGAAACUGAGCGGAGGUUAUCCGAACACAGGUGCUGCAUGGCCGUCGUCAGUUCGUGCCGUGAGGUGUAUGGUUAAGUCCUAUAACGAACGCAACCCUUAGGUUUAGUUGCCAGCAUUCAGUUGGGGACUCUAAGCCGACUGCCUGAGUAAUCAGGAGGAAGGAAAGGAUGACGUCUGGU
rnacentral:rRNA from 1 species